rnacentral:lncRNA from 12 species
GUGGAUCCAAAAGGGGAUGUGGGACAGCCUUAGUGACCUUGACACUUCACUCAGCCACCUCUUUGUCAUGGACUCCUCCUUGUUCAGAGAAAGAAAGAAGACUGCUUUAGAAAAGUGGUUUCCAAAAUAGGCUGCCGGGCACCAAAAGCCCCUGAGAAGAUUUUAAAAAUUAAGCUUGCCCUUUCAGAUUCUGAUAUAGAGGGUCUGGGGCCUCAAAUCCGAAGUUUUAAAAGCUCCCCAGGUGAUUCUGAUAACCUAGCAGCAGCGCCCUCUGGACCUGAUGUUUUCUACCUGCCUCUGACUCUGAGGCUCUGGGUGCGCUCUCACAGCCAAGGGGGCAGGGAGAGGACCGAGCCUCCCUUCGCUGCUUUGCAGACCAGCACCAGGCAGGAAUUCCACACCUGCUCACACCUGCUGAAAAGUCAUCUCGGAGAAACAUCCAGGUUGGACGGGGCUUCGGAAUCAUCAAGUGGCGCUGUGGAACAAGAUCGUUUCCUACGUGGGAUUCUAUUUUGGUCCAGUAUUGAUCUUUAGUGGUGGUUAUUAAGUACGUAUUCGGCUCUCGCCCCUUCUUUUCCUCUGGUCAAUCCCUCCAAGGCGGUUUUGGCGGGGUUAAUUUUGCCUUUUUCUGCCUGUUUCUCCCCCACCUUCCAGAUUCAUGCUUCCGGAUUUACUUUUACUAAUGUCUUCUUUGGUGACUCAGAAUGCUUCUCUCUCACUCAUGUCUUAACAACAGAGCUUCACAAUGAUUACAAUGAUUUACCAGGAAACGCAGCUUAGCAGCCAGCAGAGGAUUUGAAAGUCAGGGUGGGGCGGGGAACUGCAGCAGAUGUGAGUCGGAAAUCAGGAGAUGGAGGCUCAGAGAGAACAAGCAACUGGCCCAAAGUCACACAGCAAGUUAGGAAGUGCACUGGACUCUGGGACUCCACCUGGAUCCUCCAAGCACUAAUUUUCCAUCAGCUGAAUAAGGACCAUAUAAAUUGGAGGUCACUUGCGUGAAAGGCUUAGCACAGGGCUUGGCACGGAGUGGGU